UUUGGUGGCGAUAGCGAAGAGGUCACACCCGUUCCCAUACCGAACACGGAAGUUAAGCUCUUCAGCGCCGAUGGUAGUCGGGGGGUUCCCCUGUGAGAGUAGGACGCCGCCAAGC
rnacentral:rRNA from 3 species